rnacentral:rRNA from 1 species
GUGCCAGCCGCCGCGGUAAAACGUAGGAGGCGAGCGUUAUCCGGAUUUACUGGGUGUAAAGCGCAUGCAGGCGGUUCGUUAAGUUGGAUGUGAAAGCUCCUGGCUUAACUGGGAGAGGUCGUUCAAAACUAGCGAACUCGAGGAUGGUAAGGGAAAGCGGAAUUCCGGGUGUAGUGGUGAAAUGCGUAGAUAUCCGGAGGAACACCAGUGGCGAAGGCGGCUUUCUGGACCAUGACUGACGCUCAGAUGCGAAAGCUAGGGUAGCAAACGGGAUUAGAAACCCCUGUAGUCC